AGCAACAGUUAGUCAGACACCUCCGUAGCUUGCUAAACAAAAUAGCCGAACCAAUAAAGCUCUUUAGACGCGUUCGUGUAUAUUAGCCACUGUGUUUUAAACCCCCUUCUGUCGUCUAGUUAGUUAUCCGAUUUAAUUUAAUAUUUUCCGUGUUGUUGUCAUUAGUCUAGCUAGCUAACAUCCCAGACCAUGAGCUCACUAAGAUACUCUCGUCCUGCUAAAGAAGAGGUCUGCUGGACGGAGGAAGAUGGUCUGUGGGUGAACAUUGUUGUGAAAGAGGAAGAGGAGGGUGUCACAAUACAAAACAAGUAGAGGGACCUGAACUCUAGGACCAUGCCUCAGGACUACCUGACAUGAUGACUCCUUGCUGUCCCCAGUCCACCUGGCCGUGCUGCGACUCCAGUUUCAACUGUUCUGCCUCCUUCCUCUCCUCUCCUCUGAAGACCCAGUGAGGGAGGAGCUCAGUCAGAGAGCUGUUGAGGGACUGAUUAGGAAGAACACUUACAGCCAGAGAGGGACAGUCAAGAAAUGGAACGGCAAGGCCACAGAACAUGACAUAAGCAGAGCUGUGGGAGAUCACCUCAAGCCCUGGUAGAGCCGAGGGUGGUGUUUACCACUCCUUCAACAGGCUUGAAAAGUGGGAUUGAUCGGUUUGAUCCAUUUGUUUGUUUCUGAUUAGUUGAAUCCUUUGACAUGGGAUUGAUACUGAUUUUCAUACUAAAGAGGGACCAAGACUUUUGAUUAGUCGGUCAUUGGGUUCAUAUAUAUAUAUAUCUCCCUCACUAACCUUAAGCAUCAGCUGACAGAGCAACUUUACGAUCAUUGCCCUGUACACAGCCCAUCUGUAAAUAGCCACACCCAACUACCUCAUCCCCAUAUUGUUAUUUAUUUUUGCUCCUUUGCAUCCCAGUAUCUCUACUUGCACAUCUAUCACUCCAGUGUUUAAUUGCUAAAUUGUAAUUAUUUCACCUCUAUGGCCUUACCUCCUUACUCCAUUUGCACACACUGUAUAUAGAUUUUCCUGUUGUGUACUUUUGUUUAUCCCACGUGUAACUGUGUUUUGUCGCACCGCUUUGGUUUUUCUUGGCCAAGUCACAGUUGUAAAUUAGAACUUUAUGUCAACUGGCCUACCUGGUUAUAUAAAGGUGAAGUAAAAAUAACAUUUUGUUGUUGAAAUCAAAUCAAGCU